rnacentral:rRNA from 1 species
AUGCUUAGGGCUGUUUUGAAGAAUAAUAAGAAAAUGUGGGAGGAAUGCUUGCCUCAUAUUGAAUUUGCUUAUAAUCGUUCAUUGCAUUCUACUACUAAGAUGUGCCCUUUUGAAGUUGUGUAUGGUUUCCUACCUCGUGCACCUAUUGAUUUGUUGCCUCUUCCAUCUUCGGAGAAGGUUAAUUUUGAUGCUAAACAACGUGCUGAAUUGAUUUUAAAAAUGCAUGAGUUAACUAAGGAAAACAUUGAGCGUAUGAAUGCUAAAUAUAAACUUGCUGGAGAUAAGGGUAGAAAACAUGUUGUGUUUGCACCUGGAGAUCUUGUUUGGUUACAUUUGCGUAAGGAUAGAUUUCCUGAUUUGCGCAAAUCAAAGCUAAUGCCACGUGCU